rnacentral:rRNA from 1 species
GAUGAACGCUGGCGGCGUGCCUAAUACAUGCAAGUCGAGCGAACAGACGAGGAGCUUGCUCCUCUGAUGUUAGCGGCGGACGGGUGAGUAACACGUGGAUAACCUACCUAUAAGACUGGGAUAACUUCGGGAAACCGGAGCUAAUACCGGAUAACAUGUUGAACCGCAUGGUUCAACAGUGAAAGACGGUCUUGCUGUCACUUAUAGAUGGAUCCGCGCCGCAUUAGCUAGUUGGUAAGGUAACGGCUUACCAAGGCAACGAUGCGUAGCCGACCUGAGAGGGUGAUCGGCCACACUGAAACUGAGACACGGUCCAGACUCCUACGGGAGGCAGCAGUAGGGAAUCUUCCGCAAUGGGCGAAAGCCUGACGGAGCAACGCCGCGUGAGUGAAGAAGGUCUUCGGAUCGUAAAACUCUGUUAUUAGGGAAGAACAAAUGUGUAAGUAACUAUGCACGUCUUGACGGUACCUAAUCAGAAAGCCACGGCUAACUACGUG